rfam:Schistosoma mansoni strain Puerto Rico chromosome W, complete genome
CUACUGCUGAGGAGUUCCACAAUAGGACGAAACGGCCGUUCAGUGC